AGUGAACGCUGGCGGUAGGCCUAACACAUGCAAGUCGAACGGCAGCACAGUAAGAGCUUGCUCUUACGGGUGGCGAGUGGCGGACGGGUGAGGAAUACAUCGGAAUCUACUUUUUCGUGGGGGAUAACGUAAGGAAACUUACGCUAAUACCGCAUACGACCUACGGGUGAAAGCAGGGGAUCUUCGGACCUUGCGCGAUUGAAUGAGCCGAUGUCGGAUUAGCUAGUUGGCGGGGUAAAGGCCCACCAAGGCGACGAUCCGUAGCUGGUCUGAGAGGAUGAUCAGCCACACUGGAACUGAGACACGGUCCAGACUCCUACGGGAGGCAGCAGUGGGGAAUAUUGGACAAUGGGCGCAAGCCUGAUCCAGCCAUACCGCGUGGGUGAAGAAGGCCUUCGGGUUGUAAAGCCCUUUUGUUGGGAAAGAAAAGCAGCAGGUUAAGACCCCGCUGUUCUGACGGUACCCAAAGAAUAAGCACCGGCUAACUUCGUG
rnacentral:rRNA from 1 species